UACGUAGGGUGCAAGCGUUGUCCGGAAUUAUUGGGCGUAAAGAGCUCGUAGGCGGUCUGUCGCGUCGGCUGUGAAAUCCCGAGGCUCAACCUCGGGCCUGCAGUCGAUACGGGCAAACUGGAGUGUUGCAGGGGAGACUGGAAUUCCUGGUGUAGCGGUGAAAUGCGCAGAUAUCAGGAGGAACACCGGUGGCGAAGGCGGGUCUCUGGGCAACAACUGACGCUGAGGAGCGAAAGCGUGGGGAGCGAACAGG
rnacentral:rRNA from 1 species